UGAAAACUAGAUUGUCACUGCGCGUACGGGCGGUCCCUGGGUUCCCUGAAUUUUUCAUCGGGAACUGAAACGUACUUAUGGUACCUACACAUGUCCCAAAUAAUCCAAAAAAUCAGACUCAGGGCCUACUCGGCCAAUUUCAGAAUUCCGGUACGACGGCUCUGCCGUGCUCUAGCAACUGUGUCGUCGCUCGCGGCGGAGGUCCACAUCGGGUUGGCUGUUUUCGACCGAAUUCAGCCAAACUUGCAUCGAUUCUUGUGAUAAAACACAUUUAGCGCACUCGGUGGGACGAAAAAAUAUAGAAAACCGAAACUCAUCGGCGAUAGAGCUCUCCGAUGCGACGACUCAUCCGACUCACGUUGUGGUUGGGUGUUUUGCUCCGGUCAACCUGUAGAGGAUGAAAUAGUGAUCACAAUGGUAUAAAAAUCACAUCGAACGGUAAUUGGGAAGGGCAUCAUCUGAGACGAAAAUCGAAAUACCUCGCGGCGGCGCCACUGAGCUUCGACGGUGUUUUUCAGCCAAUUGAUCGACGCUUUUGCUCCGAUUUAGCCAUAGGUGGGUUUAGAAUCAAAUUCUGAGCAAAUGGUAUAAUUUUUACCUCGUUUGGCGGCCAAAAAUUGCUCUAGUACGGCGGCGAGUGGCAGCGGUCGAUUCCCCGGCGGCUAGGCUGUCUUUUCCGGCGAAGGGCUCUGGCAGCUAGGGUUAAGAUUUGAGUGCGGAUGAGGUUAUUUAUACCCAUCCGCUUUUAAUAUGAGCUGU
rnacentral:lncRNA from 1 species